rnacentral:lncRNA from 1 species
GUUUCAUAAAACAUAGUCAUAAAAUCAUGCUUUUUAUUUAUGCAUUUCUAGUAAUAAAAUCAUGCAUUUUAGAAGAGGUCCACUCACAAUUACUCUGUUACCAAAGUAUCAUUCAAUAAUAGGGAGGAUAGGAUCAACUUUAAUUACGCACCUGAGCACAAAAGAUGACUAAUUAGUAACCUAACAAGAUGAUUGAAUUUGGAAAAAUGGAUGUCAUAUUCAGAUUCAGGACAUCAAAAAACCAAAGGAGGGACCUCGGGUUCCCCUAGGCGCCACCACAGGGCAGAGGCCCAGAAGGCCAAGCAUUGAGUUGUGUCACCGGAAAAGUCGCCGACUGGCGACAGAGCAGAGUACCUCCGGGGAGGCGCGUGUGCUACACUUGCAGCCUCAAGCACCUGCGAGUGCAAGCUACUGGCCUUCCUUGCAAGGCCUGAAACUGAUCGGUUUCUGGGCUCGACUUCCCCAGCUUCGUUCGAGCUCGUUUCUCAAUCAUUUUCGAUGUUUCAAAAGCCAAAAUGAAGCUUGACACGAGGAGAAAAUAUUUGUACCAAUUUGGGACAGAGUGGUGGCCAGAGUUGGUCGAAAAGUGGCUGCAAAGUGGUUGUCCUCAUUGAAAAACUGGGGAAGUUUUCCCUAUUAGUUUGCUACGUCCAAAAUUUACCAAAACUUCUCAAAACGACUCCCAAACAUACACCAAAACACAAACUACAAAUUUUGGACUAAGAUUGAGGCUUACCUUCAUCUAAAAAAGGCGAGAACUCACCGAAGAGAUUUCGUGAACAGUGAUGGUGCAGAGAAAAAAGAGAGUUUGGGGGGUCCUCUUUU